rnacentral:rRNA from 1 species
GUAGGGAAUAUUGCACAAUGGGCGAAAGCCUGAUGCAGCAACGCCGCGUGCACGAUGAAGGCCUUCGGGUCGUAAAGUGCUUUUCGGGGAGACGAGGAAGGACGGUAACCCCGGAAUAAGGAUCGGCUAACUACGUGCCAGCAGCCGCGGUAACACGUAGGAUCCAAGCGUUAUCCGAAUUCACUGGGCGUAAAGCGCGUGCAGGCGGCUGGAUAAGUUGGAUGUGAAAUCUCCUGGCUCAACUGGGAGGGGCCGUUCAAUACUAUUCGGCUAGAGGACGGUAGAGGGAGGUGGAAUUCCCGGUGUAGUGGUGAAAUGCGUAGAUAUCGGGAGGAACACCAGAGGCGAAGGCGGCCUCCUGGGCCGUACCUGACGCUCAGACGCGAAAGCUAGGGGAGCAAACGGGAUUAGAAACCCCAGUAGUCC